GUUACAAUGGCGGAUAAACGCUUUAGACUCAAACUCUAACUAUGAGGGUGUUARCCCCUCUUGUAAUU
rnacentral:tRNA from 1 species